GGAACACCACAGCAAUUAACACAGCCCCACCCAUCCUCCAUUCCUACAUCCUCCCACACAGGUGGAGAGGGACCACCCUGUCUGACACUCUGCCUUAUGAGAGAGGGAGAGGGAGAAUAGGGAAAGAGAGACAUACCCCUCCCUGGGAUGGAGACCAGCUGUGAGCACCUGACCCUCAUGGGAACUCAUAAAGACAUAGCCUGAUGGCACAGGCUGGGAGAGUUCCAUUGGAGGCAGCGUCACGACUUCCGCCGAAGUCGGCUCCUCUCCUUGUUCGGGCGGCGUUUGACGGUCGACGUCACCGGCUUUCUAGCCAUCACCGCUCUAUUUUCCAUAUAUCCAUUUGUCUUGUCUUGUUUCCAAAAACACCUGGUUUUCAUUUCCCUAAUCAAUCUACUUGUAUUUAACCCUCUGUUUCCCAUCAUGUUAAGUGAUGUUAGUUUACGCGCUUUACUUUUAUGUUCUGUUUUUUGAGCGUUUGAUUUAUGUAGUGUUCUCGUU
ensembl:lncRNA